rnacentral:rRNA from 1 species
GCCAAGUCGCGUGAGGGAUGAAGGUUCUAUGGAUCGUAAACUCUUUUUAUAAGGGAAUAAAGUGUGGGACGUGUCCUAUUUUGUAUGUACCUUAUGAAUAAGGAUCGGCUAACUCCGUGCCAGCAGCCGCGGUAAUACGGAGGAUCCGAGCGUUAUCCGGAUUUAUUGGGUUUAAAGGGUGCGUAGGCGGCCUUUUAAGUCAGCGGUGAAAGUCUGUGGCUCAACCAUAGAAUUGCCGUUGAAACUGGGGGGCUUGAGUAUGUUUGAGGCAGGCGGAAUGCGUGGUGUAGCGGUGAAAUGCUUAGAUAUCACGCAGAACCCCGAUUGCGAAGGCAGCCUGCCAAACCAUGACUGACGCUGAUGCACGAAAGCGUGGGGAUCAAACAGGAUUAGAUACCCUGGUAGUCCACGCAGUAAACGAUGAUCACUAGCUGUUUGCGAUACAGUGUAA